UACGUAGGGUGCAAGCGUUGUCCGGAAUUAUUGGGCGUAAAGAGCUCGUAGGCGGUCUGUUGCGUCGGCUGUGAAAACCCGGGGCUCAACCCCGGGCCUGCAGCCGAUACGGGCAGACUAGAGUUCGGCAGGGGAGACUGGAAUUCCUGGUGUAGCGGUGAAAUGCGCAGAUAUCAGGAGGAACACCGGUGGCGAAGGCGGGUCUCUGGGCCGGAACUGACGCUGAGGCGCGAAAGCGUGGGGAGCAAACAGG
rnacentral:rRNA from 1 species